AGCUACCAGUGGGGUGGCCAUGUAUGAUUCAGUCUGCGCUGAGUCAAGAAAAGGAAAAGCCUUCAAAGCCACGCCAGCCAUCGCCUCUUACAAACCCCAAGAUCUUCUUCAAGGCCCCAGCCUAGAGCUGGAUGAGCACUGAAAAAUACAUUCCCUAAGGAGAUGCUUAUACUUUAAAGGCUGGAAGAAACUGUGAAGUGGUAAAAGGACUUUGUGCUCAUAAAGGUUUGAUGACUCGACCAUCUGGCUGGGAAUGCUCAUAAAGGAAGCCCUGCAGAGG